AUUUCCUGGCGCUGGGACCCUGGGUUGCGUGGUCUGUCUUGCUCCCCAGUUUCUCCUGAUUUAUCUGCGCUCGAAUGUGGAACCACCCAGUCUGCCAGCUGCCUUGUGUGCCGCGCCCCUCCCCAGUCUGCCGCCUCGCCGGGUCUGCCAGCUGCCACCUUGCCCAGAGUCCUCUCCACCCGGCUGCCCGUCUCCACCCUUCUUACAGGUCUGGGUGCCUGAACCAGGGAUCAAACCCACAACUUGGCAAAUCAGGCUGAUGCUCUUAACUGCACUGUCCAGCCAGUGAUCCACGGGCCUCCUUCAAAGUCAGUACGUUUUUCAACCGUCGCUCUGGUGAGAUGAUUUGGGACGUAAAUCCAAAGGCAAGUUCUCCACUCCACCACCUGCUCAGGCGGAGGACACAAUGGGCGAAGCCUCCACAGGCCUCUGAGAGUUGGAGCACCUCUGCACUGAGUGUGCCCUCACACAAAGACCAUGUAAACACAGCCUGGUUUUGACCUUCAAGGAAAUGGAGCCCUAGUGGAUGUGUUCUUCUGUAAUGUGCUUUUCUGACCAGAGGUUUCAUCUGCAUUCCCAUGUGCGGCUGUCGCUGAGCCUGACUUCCGUGGAGUCCACUGCAGGAGCACAUCCCAGUGUUGACCCAGUGGCCUACUGAUGAGCAUUUGGGGUCUUUCCAGUUUUUUUUUUUUUUUUUGCUUUUUCCUGUUCUUCCCAUGACAAACACUGCCGUUACAGCACGUUACGUCCACCUCCUGGCACACACACGUGUCCCGCCCCUGGAGCUCCUCCCAAGUACUGGGGACGAAGAGCCACGAAAGAAGGGACGGCACAGCCACUUCCGUCAGACAGUGUCCCACCGUCCCCAACAUCCUCAUCCCUGUUGACAACAGAUUCACUCGGGGUGCAUGAGGAGGAAGAAACAGAUCAACUAUGAAACUCUCAAACUUCAUUUCAAAAAUAAAAAUUAAAAAUCUGACACAACAAUGAAAAGCACGUUUACUUCUCGGUGCUGGUUUACUUGAAAUGUACUUUAUGUCUGCUAUGUUUCAAAAUACGGGUGAAACAGCAGUACUCAGCACAUGUGGUACACCAUCACAUACUUUAAGAGUCUACACUAUACACACAUGCUCACAGCCCCCAAGGCCCACCUCCCCACAGAACACCCACUUGAAAGAGCAAUAGGUAACAGUCGCAGCCCCUGGAGAGGGAGCAGAAAGGGACAGGAGAAGGAAGACAUGGAUCACUGAACACUUUCAGUGAUGUAUUAUUCUUUUUUAGAAUUCUUUUAAAAAUUUUAUUUUUCUACUGUUUUUUUUUUAACCAUGUACAAGCAUAGUAAUACAAGAUUUCUAAAAAGUAGUCAACUGGGGUUCUUUCAUAAACUAAAAAUCAGUCUGAACUGAAACUUGAAAACCUGAUUUCAUUCCACAGAAAAUGUACACGAUAAAUUCUCAAGUAUAUUUUCCGUUUCAUGCAUUUUAGAAAAAAAAUGUUUGAAAACAUUCACACAGUUCAUCUAUAGUGCAUUUUUAAACGCAUAGAAUGGACACAAGCCCCAAAACUUCUAUCCUAGAUUAAUUUUAACAUCUCUGGAAACUUAAUCAGAAGAUGGCUGACUUCAACGAGCACGUGGCCCAAGUGCCCUCGGACCUCGGCUGUGGGUCGGCUGCCCUGACACUACUCACACAGAGGGAUCCAGAGAGACCUCCUACCGAUGAGUGGCGGUGUAAGAAGAGGACACAAAUCCCUAAACUGGGUGAUGUGACUAGCUGGUUAUAAGCGGAAGAAGGUAAGAAAUGAGUUUUAAUUCAAACUGACAGAUGACUGCAUUGUGAUUUAAGAAAAAAGUCUUAACCAAGGGGGCAGAAUACAAUGUGGAAGAGACCCCACGUUGAGGCAGGGAGAAUGCCAGAGCAGGGGACUCAGUGACUGGGUCCUCUCGAGAGGCAGAGAGAGAGGAAGCAAGUUACCAAACCAGACUCCAGCUCGUGACUGGACACUUGAAAGUUCACCCCAUUUCCUUUAAUCAGUGAACUGUUAAAAGUCAGUUAUCUUUCAGAGAUACAUGCUGAAAUACUUAGAUUAAAUGGUAUGUCUGAGACCUGAAAAUAAUAGGGGUAGGGGAUAAACACUACCGAUAUAAGACUGACCACUGCAUCUUACUGGCGAUGAGUUUUACUAGAAGUUAAUGAUCCUGGUUCUACUAUGUGUAUGUCUUAAAUUUUCCAAAAUAAAAAGAAACCAACUGUUUUGAGUCCAAUCUUAUCAAGUAGUCUUCUGAUUAAUAAAAACUGGCUCCCCUUAAAGGCUUUUCAAAAAGGAAAUACAAAUUACCCAACUAACAACGUUCAGGUCUGCAAGGCAGAAACGUGUACUUUUUAUACAGAACCUCCCUAUAUGGAAUUCUCGUGAAUUUGAUAACGAAGAAUCAAACUCUGGGUGUUGGGGACGACCCAGCUUCUAGAUCUCCACAGCUAAGACCAGACAUUAACUAUGGACACUUUAAGAAGCCAGGCCUCCCCCUCGAACCCCACAUAAUGUCAAUAUUGAUCUAAGUGUUUGUAGAGAUGAAGACUUUCAUGAACUGAUUAACUGUGUACAUCAUUCAAAUAAGUUAGCUAGUAACUCCAGAUGAGGCAGAACAGAAUCUGGUGUUUUAAUACCUUAAUUUGGUACCUUAAUACUUCAGUAAACUUCUGUUUUUCUUAAAAAUUAGUAAUAGAAUAUGGUAAGUUAUCACUUUAAAUUCUUUACCCCUACAGCCGAGCUCCUGUCAAACCGCACGAAGCAGUGCUUGGGAGGUGGCUCAGUGUGUGGGACUGGUUCCCCACCUUCUCUGCCUCGUCGCACGGGCCACCCCGACAGACUCGGAGACAGCCCCCUCGCUGCAUCUUCAGCUUCAACUACAAGCACUGCCCUCCGAGGAGGACCUCACAGAGCCUCUGAACCGGCAGCUUUGUUGUUUUCCAACGUUCGGCGGAGAGCAUUUUAGUAAACCCCGGAGCAGCUCACUGUGCCUACUGAAUGCACGCGGCGGCACAACAGCGAGGCGGCGCUGAGGCCGAGGCCUUGAUUCCCUGUGCCGGCUCCAACAUGGAGCCGGACGGCCUGGGGUAAGUCAUUUAACCCCCUUACUCAAUUUCUUGACCUAUAAACUGAUGGCAGUAUUUGAAAGUUAUAAAUCACAAAGUACUGCUAUGAUAUAUGUAGCUGGAGAUAACACUUUUACACAAUCUUUGACAAAGGAGGCUCCCAGCAGAAACUUGCUACCACAUCUGCCACAUGUGACAAAAGGGGAAAACCAUCUGCUCAACCAUUAGUUUACUUCUUAAAAACCCUUGUACAUAUUACACAUCCCACAGAAAUACAUACAUCUGUAACCUGACAAGAUCAGGGAAAAGAAAUCUUGGUACAGGAUUUAAAGACCAAAAACGAGUUAAAAGUUCUCGAAUGCUCUCUGCAUCAUUGUGUCCCCGCUAGAGGAUCACAGUGUUCACCAGAAGGAUGUUUUGAGUUUUCUACUAAAGAUAUCUUUCAGGGAUGUAAAAAUAUAUUCUAGUUCACUGUACAUCUUUGCUAUUUAAAAGCAAAAUUCAAAUUUAUUCAUAACUACCCCAAAUUGAAGCACCAUUAUUAAAAACAUUUAAACUGCAAAUUCUGUGAAAACAGAACCAGGUA